GACGAACGCUGGCGGCGUGCCUAAUACAUGCAAGUCGAACGCAGUGGGGACGGGUGAGUAACACGUUGGUAACCUCCCAUCAGAGGGGAUAACACUUGGGAACAGGUGCUAAAUCGAUACGGAUGGAUGGACCCGCGGUGCAUUAGCGAGUUGGUGAUGUAACGGCUCACCAAGGCCACGAUGCAUAGCCGACCGGAGAGGGUUGUCGGCCGCAAUGGGACUGAGACACGGCCCAAACUCCUUCGGUAGGCACCGGUACGGAAUCUGCUGGAAUGGACGAAAGUCUGACCGAGCAACGCCACGUGGGUGAAGAAGGUUUUCGGAUCGUAAAACUCUGUUGUUCGAGAAGCGGUAUCUAACCAGAAAGCCACGGCUAACUACGUGCCAGCAGCCGCGGUAAUUC
rnacentral:rRNA from 1 species